rnacentral:rRNA from 1 species
GGGCCCCGCCCCAAGCGGGAGGAACCAUGUGGUUUAAUUCGAUGAUACGCGAGGAACCUUACCUGGGCUUAAAUGUAGAACGACGGACCGGGAAACUGGUCUUUCUUCGGACGGUCUGCAAGGUGCUGCAUGGCUGUCGUCAGCUCGUGCCGUGAGGUGUCGGGUUAAGUCCCAUAACGAGCGCAACCCUCAUCAUUAGUUGCCAGCGGGUAAUGCCGGGGACUCUAAUGAAACUGCCGGUGUAAACCGAGAGGAAGGUGGGGAUGACGUCAAGUCAGCACGGCCCUUAUGUCCAGGGCUACACACGUGUUACAAUGGUCGGUACAAAGGGCAGCUACCUGGCGACAGGAUGCUAAUCUCGAAAACCGAUCUCAGUUCGGAUCGAAGUCUGCAACUCGACUUCGUGAAGCUGGAUUCGCUAGUAAUCGCGCAUCAGCCAUGGCGCGGUGAAUACGUUCCCGGGCCUUGUACACACCGCCCGUCAAGCCAUGGAAGCUGGGGGUACCUGAAGUCCGUAACCGCAAGGAGCGGCCUAGGGUAAAACUAGUAACUGGGGCUAAGUCUGUAACAAGGUAACC